AUGGAAACGCCAAAAAUGUGAAAAACCGAAAAAUGGUCCAAAUUAAAUGAAACUUUCAGACAUUAUAACUCAUCAUUCGAAAGCGUGAAAUCCAUCUUGACAAAAUUUCAAGAUGGCUACCGUUGCCAUGGAAACAGUCUAAACGUGAAAAAAACGAAAAUAAUUCCUUAAUUAAUUCAUAGUUAAUCAACCGUUACAGGUACGACCCCCAAAACC
rnacentral:lncRNA from 1 species